CAAUAGCGUAUAUUAAAGUUGUUGCAGUUAAAAAGCUCGUAGUUGAAUUUUUGCUUGCCGCCGAUGUCGGAACUUCCGUACGUUCGGCGGCGUGCAUCCUUGGGUGGAGCCUGUGUGGCAUUAGGUUGUCGUGCAGGGGAUGCUCAUCGUUUACUGUGAAAAAAUUAGAGUGUUCAAAGCAGGCUUACGCCGUUGAAUAUAUUAGCAUGGAAUAAUAAGAUAGGACCUUGGUACUAUUUUGUUGGUUUGCGCACCGAGGUAAUGAUUAACAGGGACAGUUGGGGGUAUUCGUAUUCCAUUGUCAGAGGUGAAAUUCUUGGGUUUCUGGAAGACGAACUACUGCGAAAGCAUUUACCAAGGAUGUUUUCAUUA
rnacentral:rRNA from 1 species